GUGUUGCUAUCCUAAAGAAAAGUAGCAGAGGUAUACCCAGCCUGGCAGCUGCUGUGCCUCAGAGCAGUUCCCAUGAGGGAAAGAAAGACAAACAGAUCCCCUGUCAGUGGGAUCAUGGCUGAGAGCUGGGCUGAGAAGCAAGCCUUUCAGGAGGGUCCUUUCUCUGAACUCAUUGAAGCGCUUGGGUGUUAACCCCCCUGGAAAUACGUCAGAUGAAAGGAAGGAAGAAGAAUGGGGCUAGAAAACAACAAAACCCUAUGGGCGAGGACUGAGAGCUGGCUCACAUUCUCUCUCUUGCAAGAGGCUGCCAGCUGAAGCAACCCUCCAGCCUGAAUAAGAUUCUUCCCAAGGCAGACAUCUCUACUUCGACAUGGAGGUUUUUCUUUUACUCUAUCACCCUUCACUGACAUUUGAUUUUUUUUUUGCUUUUUCUGCAGGUGGCAUUGUUUAGUUUUUCUUUAAAAUUCUUUAGUGAUAAAGGAAUGCUGUUGUGCAGAGGAACUGAACCAGGCUGUGCCAGUCAGCUUUUCCUCCCUGUGUCUAAGUACCUGAUCAAAUAGCUUUAAGGGUUGGAAAGAUUGAUUUUGUCUGAGAGUUUCAGCAGAAGCGGCCUUUUGGAUCACGGGAAUUUGACAUCAUUGUUUCUAGAUGAAGGCCCACUAGGCCAGCAGGCAGGGUAAAUAAGGACAGUGUGUGGGGAAGGGGUGAGGAGAAAGAGAGAGAGGAGGGAAGGAAGGAGGAGAGGAAUAGGGAGAAAAGAAAAAAGGAAGAGGAGGGGAGAGAAGAAUAGGAAGGGGAAAGAGGAAGGGGGAGUGAAGAAAAAAAGAAGAGGAAGGAAGAGGAGAGGAGAAAGGGAGGGGAGGAGAGGGAGAAGGAGAGGGAGAGGAGACAGUGAGGAAAGAAUGAAUAUGUCCAUCCAGGCUAUGCCCCCAGUGAUCUUCCAAGCAAGCCCCAUCUCCUAACUGUUUCUACCACCUGCUAAGAGCACCACCCUUGAGAACUAUAUGUGAGCCUAUGGGGGACUUUCUACGUUCCACGUGUAACAAAACUAUAGCAAGGUUUUUCUACAGAGCCAAGUUCAAUCCCAAGUUUUAAGUCUUCAUGCUCCACACGAAAGAAGAGAGGAAUAAAAGACCUCACGUUUGUAACUAAUCCUAAA